ACAGUGUGUUAAAGUUAAAUUCUGUUAGUGCUGCACUAAAAGAAUUGUUAGUAAUAAAUCCAUGCAGCGAAGGAAGUGAACAAUUGUGGGACCGUAUUUGGGCUGAAAAUGAGUGUGGUACGGAAACCCAGAAAUUGCACGAGUUCAACAUAAAACAUGGAUUAGAAUUUUAGCGGGGGGGUCAAGUCUGGAAGUAUUACAGGAUGGAAGAGUCAGCCUGUAGUUGAAAAAACACUGAGAGUGCAUUACCAUUAAGGUGAGAGGUAAAGUAAUAGAGUUAUGCAUAUUGUCUAAUGAGAAGUACCAUCUUGUGUUAAUGAAUCCGGUACAACAGCAAUCCUUUAUAGUUCUGUCAUAGCUAGAAGCCUCAAAUAAUUCUGCUUCUCUGGCUAAAGAACAACUUGUCCUUUACGUUCAGAGUAUUGGUGAAACUGGGUACUUAAAUGGCCCUAAAGAUAUUUUACUUUGCUGCCAUUUCAGAGAUGAACAUCAUACAUGGACUCUUUAGCAGAAAAACAGAAGUGGAUGAAACAUUCAAUGAGCUAUCUUCCAAUUAUCGGUGAACAACUGAUGCAAACAAAGCAGAUCAUUAAAUCAAAUUGAUAUUUUUAUUUACAAAACAGCAACUCUGUCGCUGUCUGCGUAAUUGGCUGGGAUCUUAUUGAGCUCUGUUAGUUCAAUUUGACGAAAAAGUAUGUUGUGUAGGAUACAUGGGAUCCUGAUGUUGCAGCUUCACGGAAGAUGGAAAGCCUCAUGAUCAAUACAGUCUGGAAGCUGUGAUAUGCUAUGAAAAGGAACUGUUUUAAGGGCAUCGUCUUUGGGUACGCUUUAACAAUUUUGAUAAAGUCGUCCUCCAGGUUACAGGAAAAGAUGUACCUCAAUACAUAACAUCAUUCGAAGAAGCCGGCCUGCGCCAACUACUACGUCAAAACAUUAAGAAUUCUGGCUACAUAAAACCAACACCUAUUCAGAAAGCUUCAGUUGCAGUUAUUCUUGCCAAAAGAGAUUUAAUUGCUUGUGCUGUCACGGGCUCCGGCAAAACGGCGGCGUACUUGGUACCGGUUAUGAACAUAUUGUUAGAACAAGGUGUUGCUGGUGCGCCUCAUGCCAUGGGGCAAAAGCCAGAAGUUGUAAUUGUCGCACCCACUCGUGAAUUGGGCAUUCAAAUUGACCGCGAGGCGUGUAAAUUCUCCUACAGUUCGGUUUUAAAGUCUGUGAUUAUAUAUGGAGGAACUCUCACGAGCCAUCAGCGGUCAAAUCUUCAAGCUGGGUGCAAUAUUUUUGCCGCGACCGCGGGGCGAUUCAAGGAGUUUUCGACCUUGAAGUAUUUGACUUCUCGGGAGUCAGGUUUUAAGUUUUGGUUGAUGCUGAUCGAAUGCUUGAUAUGGGUUUCGGUCCCAAUGUUGAAAAGAUUGUUAAUCAUCCAACGAUGCAUCCGAAAGGAAUCCGUCGUGUUUGUAUGUUUUCGGCUACAUUCCUAGAUGAAGUACAAGCGCUGGCUGCGACGUACAUGGAAGACUACAUAUUCUUCACAACAGGCAUUGUUGGUUGCACCAAUUCGGAUGUUGAACAGGUGUUUUUUUUCAGUGCACGAAAAGAGAUAAGAGAGCUAAGCUGAUCGAAGUUUUACAAGAUCUCUGUGAAGCCAAGACUAUCGUUUUUGUCGACAGCAAAAAGACGGCGGACUUCGUCGCUGCAUUCUCGUGCAAUAACAACUUACAAUCUACCAGCAUCCAUGGUGAGCGUAAACGAAAAUCGUAAAUGUCUCUUCCGAAGCUUCUGUCAGAAGAAUAUGCUAGCAAUCAACUCACGAAUCAUAUGAACAAUAAAAGCCGAUGGCGAGGUGACGAAGAAAACAACACGUCGAGGUGCUGUCAAACGUGUCUCCGUUCCGGAGAAGGAAGCGCCUGAUGGCAAAAGGCGUCGUGGUGAAACGAAAGCCAAUAAACACGUUGCUGGAUUGGAUGAUGUAGAAAUGUUACACGAAGGGAACGGACACGCUGUCGACAUCCAUGCCAAUCACGUGCCAGAUGAGCCGGAGGCGAACGAUGGAUCGCGAGUCACAUCCGUCAAAAAUGGACGAUCUACUUGCGCAAAGGGCGCACUCAAAGUUCAUUUUGACGUGGCCGAAACGGCGCAUUCGCCAGUCAGAUCACCCGUUCGACGCGGAAGACGGCUUCACCGGCUGAGAAGAAAGUCUCUGUCCAGCUGGAACGCGACCCCGACCAUUGAGACUGUGGCCGCCACUGCAAAAGAAAAGGAAGAGAAAGCACCGGCCGCCAAACGUUCACGACAAAAGAAGGGCCCGGCAGUAUCUGCCGCAACAAUGGCGGAUGAACCUCCGGCCGUGCCGGCCACGAAACGGACACGUGGUGGCAAGAAAACAACUAGCGAACCUGAGCUUGUUAAGGAGGAUACGUCAUCGCCACCACCACCACCUCGACGUACUAGAAACAUCUAACAGCAAGACCCAUCAAUGAAUUACCUAUUUUAUUUUUCUUUGGUUUCACGGUAACUCGUGUCCUUAAAAGUCAGCACGACAGGCACAUUGAGAUAAUGGUUAUUGCUACCUUCUUGCUUUUUAAAAAAGGCAUCAAGCCAAACUGCUCAACCAUGCAGUUAGGCUUUUUCCUUUUUUUAAAAUUAGAAUUAAUGAAAUAAAGCAAAGCUUGUCAUUUCAAUCAUUUCAGGAUUGUGGAGACAAACAUUGUGGUUCCAGCGGUUUCCUUAGUUAGGCAAGUCGUUUAAUAAUGCUUGGUGUUACAACUAUUUUUUAAAUUAUUUUUAACUAAAAUUUUUUCAUUCACGACAUUUGCAGG